UACGUAGGGUGCGAGCGUUGUCCGGAAUUAUUGGGCGUAAAGAGCGCGCAGGCGGUCGUUCAAGUCGAAUGUGAAAGCCCCCCGGCUCAACUGGGGAGGGUCAUUCGAUACUGAUCGACUCGAAGGCAGGAGAGGGUAGUGGAAUUCCCGGUGUAGUGGUGAAAUGCGUAGAUAUCGGGAGGAACACCAGUGGCGAAGGCGACUACCUGGCCUGUUCUUGACGCUGAGGCGCGAAAGCUAGGGGAGCAAACGGG
rnacentral:rRNA from 1 species